rfam:Hordeum vulgare subsp. vulgare, WGS project CAJW01000000 data, contig: morex_contig_1598650
AAUAUACUCCCUUUGUUCGGAAUUAUUUGUCUCACAAAGGUAUAAAAGUAGAUGUAUCUAGAAUUAAAAUACAUCUAGAUACAUCUAUUCCUAUGACAAGUAUUUCCGGACGGAGGGAGUAGUAU